GUCAGAAAAGGAUUGGGGGUCUCAGUCGGACCGCCCCGACCAAGAGGGCCCUGCAGACCUCCAGGAGGAGCUCGUCAGGGUCCUCGGCAAGGCCGUCAUAGAGCUGGACCUUGCUUGGAACGCACCUGACGAGCCUGUGAAAAGUAAGCUGGACUUGUGGUUCCUCCAGUCGACACACCGCCAGGCCGCACUUCGAGGAGAAGAACCCCAUUCUUCCUAGACAUGCCCCCCGUUGAGGAGACUGUUGCCGCGCACCUGUGCCCAUCUUCCUCUGCAUUGGGUUCGGACCACAGCCUGCCUUCCAAGCUGUGCAGGUUCACGGCCCACCAGGCGGACAAAGCCUAUGCUGCUGCAGGGGAGGCAGUUUCUGCUCUUCACGCUAUGGCUAUACUCCAGGUGUUCCAGGCAAAACUGCUUCAAUCCCUCGACGUCGGCGCAGUCGGCGCUGACUUCAUCAGAGAUCUGCGUGCAGCCCACCGUGGCACCCCGCCCCGAACCGGACACUCGUUUUGGCCGAAACAAGCAGUGGUCAGGGCCUGGAAUGAAACGUCAGGGUCAGAGGAGGAGCCCCCGGCCCCAAGAGCCAUGUUCAAAAGCAUCAUGUUCCCCAGGUUCCUACGGGCGACGAUUGUUAUGUUGGUUUAAAUGCUGUUUGUGUGAGUUACACAAUAAAAACAUGUAUCCAUCCACAAAAAGAGCUUUUUCUUCCUCUUGCACCCAACAGUGUGUCACUCGCCCUGUCUCAGAGCAGCGCAGAGCCACAACCCAUGAUUAUAAUGGCCUCUCGAGGGUGCGAGAAUGCCAACACCACACAAUGCCCGCCACGAGCCACCCUCCCGCCAGUGAUUCUAGCCUCACGGGGACGGGUCUCCUGUCAAAACACACCAUCAGUGGCUACGGUGGCCGUAGAGCUAACGCAUCCGCUGUGUCAUUUCCUGGACGCGUGGAGGGCUAUCCCGGACGUUUCACCAUGGAUACUGGGAAUAAUUCAGCACGGAUAUUCUCUUCAGUUGAAACGCAGACCUCCCCGCUUCAAUGGCGUGGUCCCGUCACUGACUUUGCCCAAAAACCUUUCUGUUCUGAGACAGGAAGUUUUCAGUCUGCUCGAGAAAGGAGCGAUAGAGCGCGUCCCUCCAAGUGAGCAGGGAAGUGGGUUUUACAGCCGCUACUUCGUGGUGCCAAAGAAGGAUGGUGGACUCCGAUUCUGGACCUGAGACCCAUCAACCGAGCACUUCACAAGCACGUGUUCAGAAUGACAAAGCUGAAGAUUGGGGACUGGGAACUGGUUUGGCUCAGUGGAUCCAAAAGAGGCAUUCAUCCAUAUUCAAAUAGCGACGCGCCACAGGCGCUUCCUGAGGUUUGCUUUAGAAGGCACGGCUUAUCAGUAUUAAGUGCUUCCGUUCGGCCUCGCCCUGGCCCCCCGCACAUUUUCAAAGUGUGUGGACGCAGCGGUUUCUCCCCUCAGAUUGAGCAGAAUGCGCAUCUUGAAUUAUCUGGAUGAUUGGCUGAUUUGAGCCCACUCAAGAUAUGUGGUAAUGAGUCACGUGGAAACACUG
ensembl:lncRNA